CAUCUGCGCCCGGGCAGAUCACGUGAAUGCCGCAGAACAGGAGUUCCACCGCCCCACGCCCCGCCUCCUAGCCAGCCGCUUCCAGCCACCCACCACCUCUCUCCAGCAGGGUUCUGAAGCAAUUUCAUCCUGAUAUCAGCACUACAUUAAAUUCCUUGGGCAUCAUAAAUCAUUUUCUUAUCGACAUCUUUGAGCACAUCACCACCAAGGCUGGCUGCCUGGUUGCUACACUGACUGCUCCACUAUCACCUCCAGAGAGAUCCAGACCACCCGAGCCUGAUGCUGUCUGGGAAUAUACACAAGCACACUGUAUUCAAAACCAAAGCGCCUCUGGGUGAUGAAGAAGACAGAGAGAUGAUAUCCUGCCCCUUGUGCCGAGAGACCUGGUUGUUGGGCCGCAUGAAUUGGCUGAUCCCUGAAGUGAAACAGUGUCUCACUAUGUUGCCCAGGCUUGUCUUGAAUUCCUGACCUCAAGUGAUCCUCCCACAUCAGCCUUCCAAAGUGCUGGGAUUACAGGCAUGUACCACCUCACCUGGCCUCCUUGAA